GACGAACGCUGGCGGCGUGCCUAAUACAUGCAAGUUGAGCGCUGAAGGUUGGUACUUGUACCAACUGGAUGAGCAGCGAACGGGUGAGUAACGCGUGGGGAAUCUGCCUUUGAGCGGGGGACAACAUUUGGAAACGAAUGCUAAUACCGCAUAAAAACUUUAAACACAAGUUUUAAGUUUGAAAGAUGCAAUUGCAUCACUCAAAGAUGAUCCCGCGUUGUAUUAGCUAGUUGGUGAGGUAAAGGCUCACCAAGGCGAUGAUACAUAGCCGACCUGAGAGGGUGAUCGGCCCCAUUGGGACUGGGACACGGCCCCAACUCCUUCGGGAGGCAGCAGUAGGGAAUCUUCGGCAAUGGACGAAAGUCUGACCGAGCAACGCCGCGUGAGUGAAGAAGGUUUUCGGAUCGUAAAACUCUGUUGGUAGAGAAGAACGUUGGUGAGAGUGGAAAGCUCAUCAAGUGACGGUAACUACCCAGAAAGGGACGGCUAACUACGUG
rnacentral:rRNA from 1 species